AUCAACGCUGGCGGCGUGCCUAACACAUGCAAGUCGAACGAGAAAGUCCGCAAGGAUGAGUACAGUGGCGACCGGGUUGAGUAACACGUGACUAACCUACCUCUUAGUGGGGAAUAACUCCGGGAAACCGGAGCUAAUACCGCAUAACAUCGCAAGAUCAAAGCCGAAAGGCGCUGGGAGAGGGGGGUCGCGGGCUGAUUAGCUAGUUGGUAGGGUAACGGCCUACCAACGGCAAGAUCGGUAUCCGGCCCUGAGAGGGCGCACGGACACACUGGAACUGAAACACGGUCCCAGACUCCCUACGGGGAGGCAGCAGUGGGGAAUUUUGCGCAAUGGGGGGAAACCCUGACGCAGCAACGCCGCGUGUGAGGAUGAAGUCCCUUGGGAUGUAAACUCCUUCGACCCGGACGAUACUGACGGUACGGGUGGAAGAAAGCACCGGCUAACUCUGUUGCCAGCAGCCGCGGGUAAUACAGAGGGUGCGAGCGUUGUUCGGAAUUAUUGGGCGUAAAGGGCGCGUAGGCGGUGCGGUAAGUCACCUGUGAAAUCUCCUGGCUCAACUGGGAGCUUGCAGGCGAAACUGCUGUGCUGGAGUGUGGGAGAGGUGCGUGGAAUUCCCGGUGUGUAGCGGUGAAUGAAAUGCGUAGAUAUCGGGGAGGAAACACCUGUGGCGAAAGGCGGCGCACUGGACCACAACUGACGCUGAGGCGCGAAAGCUAGGGGAGCAAACAGGAUUAGAUACCCUGGUAGUCCUAGCCCUAAACUAUGGAUGCUUGGGUUGUGAUGGGUACCCAAUCCCAUCGUGACCGAAGCUAAACGCGAUAAGCAUCCCCGCCUGGGGGAGUACGGUCGCAAGGCUGAACUAAAUCCAAGGAAUUGACGGGGGCCCGCACAAGCGGUGGGAGCAUGUGGUUCAAUUCGACGCAAACGCGAAGAAACCUUACCUGGGCUCGAAAGCGCAGUGUGAAUCCGGUGGAAACAUCGGCGCCCGCAAGGGCCGCUGCCGGAGGUGCUGCAUUGGCUGUCGUCAGCUCGUGUCGUGAGAUGUUGGGGUUAAGUCCCGCAACGAGCGCAAACCCUUAUCGUCUGUUGCUAACGCGUAAUGGCGAGGGACUCGGGCGAAACCGCCUCGGAUAUACGGGGAGGAAGGGUGGGGAUGACGUCAAGUCCUCAUGGCCUUUAUGUCCAGGGCUACACACGUAGCUACAAUGGUCGGUACAAACCGUUCGCAAACCCGCGAGGGGAGAGCUAAUCGGGAAAAAGCGCCGGCCUCAGUUCGGAUUGGAGUCUGCAAACUCGACUCCAUGAAGCUGGAAUCGCUAGUAAUCGCAGAUCGGAACGACUGCGGUGAAUACGUUCCCGGGCCUUGUACACACCGCCCGUCACAUCACGAAAGUGGACCAUACUAGAAGCCGGUGGGCUAACCGCAAGGGAGCAGCCGUCCAAGGUAUAGUUUCAUGAUUGGGGUG
rnacentral:rRNA from 1 species